rnacentral:rRNA from 1 species
UGGGGAAUAUUGGACAAUGGGCGCAAGCCUGAUCCAGCCAUGCCGCGUGUGUGAAGAAGGCCCUUUGGUUGUAAAGCACUUUAAGCGAGGAGGAGGCUACUUGGAUUAAUACUCUAGGAUAGUGGACGUUACUCGCAGAAUAAGCACCGGCUAACUCUGUGCCAGCAGCCGCGGUAAUACAGAGGGUGCGAGCGUUAAUCGGAUUUACUGGGCGUAAAGCGUGCGUAGGCGGCUUCUUAAGUCGGAUGUGAAAUCCCUGAGCUUAACUUAGGAAUUGCAUUCGAUACUAGGAAGCUAGAGUAUGGGAGAGGAUGGUAGAAUUCCAGGUGUAGCGGUGAAAUGCGUAGAGAUCUGGAGGAAUACCGGUGGCGAGGGCAGCCAUCUGGCCUAAUACUGACGCUGAGGUACGAGAGCAUGGGGAGCAAACAGG